GAAGAUCUGCAUUUACUGCUUCCAACUACAUCUUCCCAGCAAUUAAAGCCUCCUUCUCCUGCAUUCAAGUCGACUACUCUUUCUAGAGGAGACCAGAAGUUUAAGAAGCCAUUUCUCAUCUCCAAUCUAAAAGCGUUUGAGGCUUCUUAACUUCAUUUAUUGUUCAUAUUGUUUUCAUCUGCUUUUUGAGAAGCUCAUUUUCUGUUUUCUUUCUACAACUUGUAUUUACUUGGUUCAAUCGGGGAUUGAAUCAAGGGGAUUGUGGUUGGUUGGUGAGCCGAGUUAAAACCAACGUGUGUAAGGGUUUGAUUGUGAUCCCGGAAAAAUAAUCGGGGCGGUUCUAGUCGGUGAGCCUGGGAAAACCGACCGAGUUCGUUGUGAGCUCGUAAAACAACAAGUUUGGUUGUGAGCUUGGAAAACAACCGGCUGUAAUCCAAGGGGGUUAUAGUGAAUUUCCAAGUGAGACUUGGGGAGUGGACGUAGGAGCAAGGGUUAGCUCCGAACCACUAUAAAACCUUGUGUUUUUGUUGGAUUGUCUCUCUUCUUCUUCCCCUCACAUCACUCACAGCACUUAGCAUUAAUUAAAUAACUUGCAAUAGUUUUUAAUUAAUCAACCACAUCGUUUUAAUUAUUCAAAUUAUUUUAAAACCCAAUUCACCCCCCCCUCUUGGGUUGUCUAUCUGGGC
rnacentral:lncRNA from 1 species